CAUAUAUAUAUUUCUCCUUACAUUGUAUGCUCUGCUCCUAGUGUAUGUGCAUCUUAACUGACAAAAUUAUGAAUCUCAUACUCAUAAAUUUAAUAAAUAAUUAUUUUUUAUAUUGCCUUCUUUCACAUCCACAUAAUAAUAACAACAAUUUGUUUGCAAAGCUGAAAUAAGAAUGCGUACAUUAACUCUUCUUUGAAGCACAAAUGCGUUAUGCUUCAUGCAUCUCCUUUUAUCCACGCAUAAUUAUUAGACAUCCUGAGUACAAAAUUUAUGACUUAGGGGACCAUAAAAACUGUCCCUAAAAGCCUGCUUCGCUUACAAAAUUUAUGACUUAAAAGAGACCUUGCAAUAAGCCGUCCUGAAGUUUGGCUUUGUUCAUUAUCGUUUCUAUUUUAUGUUUCAACUUUGAAGAACAGAUUCACAUACAAAGAGAGAAAUAGAUACCCAUUAUAUGGUUAAUUUCCUAUUUUUUGCAGGAAAU
rnacentral:misc_RNA from 1 species